rnacentral:lncRNA from 1 species
UGCUCACAAAGCUUAUUCUCGGACCUCCUAUUUAUAGAUAAAUUUUUUUAUAAUUUUUUGAUAGAAAAAGAAGUCCUAAAAUCUUUAAUAAUUAUAUUAAUCCCCUUAGGAAUAUACCUGACCAUCGGAUGGAGCUUGAACCGCCCAGAUCUGCCUAAAAUCCAUAAUUUUAAUCCUUAUCAAAGUCGGAUCGAACCACAACCGUCCGAUCACAUCUGGGAUUGGUUCUGGACCGUCAGAUCGUAUAAAAAAGUUUUAUUCAAAGUCAGAAGCGAUAACAGCCAUUAGAUCGCAUGAUGGAUUGCUUCUGGAUCGUCAGAUCACACAAAAGAGUCCUCUUA